UGCCCUGGCUCCUGUCAGCUCCUGUCAGCUCCUUGUCAACCUCUGUCGACCUCUGUCGACCUCUGUCGACAGGGGCGAUGCCAGGUACCAUCAACAGUGGGGAAUGGAAUGACUGACCGAGGUGACUUGAGAUACCGUAAACAGUGGGGCAGGGGCGACUCUUCUGUCCGACCUGACCGAAGUCUGUCCGACCUGGCAGAGCACGCUGCAUGGCUACGAGGAGUCGGUUUCGUGCCUGUCGUUCGGCGGUUCGGCCGGUGUGCUGGUCUCCGGCUGUCUGGGCGGCGAGCUGCGUCUUUGGCGACCACAUUCGGGACGCACCACACUGCUGGCCCUGCAGCAGAUGGCACACCGUCUGGGUGUUACCUGCUGCCAUAAUCUAUUAUCCAUCAGCAAACCAUAUGUAUGUUUUCUUUCUGAAUAAAAAUGUGCCUGGGCAAGUAAA